UGAGAAGGCAUGUGCGGACGAUG
rnacentral:piRNA from 1 species